rnacentral:miRNA from 1 species
AAAGUGCUUCUUGUUCGGCUGU